ACAAAGAGAUUGAUGGAAAUUGAUCAGAAAUAUUCGCGAUUACAAUACGCUGCGUCACACCCUGUCGCACCACGUCACGAGAUAGACGUGUAAAUUUGCAAUUCAAACCGGAUCAUAUCUGUGCAAGUAUGAUUGAAAAAGGUGAGUCGACGGUCAAGACGUUUGAAUGUGGACGAACUUUACACACACACGUUUUAUAUAUAAGACAUGCAAAUGACUGCCCAAAUAUGCACAGCUCCUGCAGGUAUUUCGCCACAGUAUCUAACAAUGAUUGUACCCCGGCUAAAAUAUAAAUUUGACGGUAGGUUUGAUUUAAAAAAUUUGAGAUUUGAGAUCGUUAAGAAGAUUUUAUGGGUGGAAAGACCUUGGCCUUGAACCCAACGCGUAUCCUACACGAAAAUAAAGGACAGCAACAAGUUUAAGGUCAAUGGGGUUUAUCUGUCUGCAUAAACCGGAGACUCUCGAGACUUCCCAAUACCUCUAUGGAAGACUUUCAAAAGGGAAAUACAAGAGAGGUGACAUGUCGAUGGAAUCUGUAAGAGAGAGACGGAGAAAACAUGGUUCUCUAGAGAAAUGCACGUGUGCCCAGCAAAUCAGUCAAGCCUCUAUUUUAUGGCUUUCUUGAGUGUAUCAAAAGAUCUUUAAAAACCGGACGAACCGGACAAUCAGAACAAAAGAAAGUUUAAAGAAAAGAAAACAUUUUUCUUUCCUCUGAUGGCGGAAGCAUUUCUACCUACAUCUUCCGACCUUGACGACAAGGUGAUUUCUCAAGUGGGUGUCUUAUUAAGCUACCGCCCACAUUUACAUAACUAUCAAAAGAUGGUCAGUGUUUCUUACCUUUUAAGAUCAACACAGGUGGAUGGAAGAAUAGGUGUCAUUAAGUACAUUACAGCUAUGCAGGAAUUUCAGCUUGUUGCUCGUAACAC